rnacentral:tRNA from 1 species
GGGCGGUUAGCUCAGCGGCUAGAGCGCUGCGUUGACAUCGCAGAGGUCACUGGUUCAAAUCCAGUAUCGCCCA